rnacentral:snoRNA from 1 species
GAUUGGCCGGAAUGAUGAAUCAAUUAGAUGUAUGAACUAGCGUUAUGAUUUGAAACUUUUGAGGCAUAAUUUCUUUCUGACCUGCCAAUC